rnacentral:lncRNA from 1 species
UCUCCUUCAUAUAAACUCAAAACUAUUAAAAACUUGUACCAAAACCAUAGCCAAAAACCUAAACUUAUUGACCUUAGUCUUCAAAGCUCAAAUGGCCUCAAGAAUCUAACCCUGAUCCCUAAUAUGGCCUUGGGCAGCCUCCUCAAAGUCCAUAAGUCAUGAUUUUUGACCAAAAAGAAUGGAGAUUUUCAUCAUCUAUCUCCAUUCAUCUAUAUAGGUGCCUUAAUUACUCCCUUUGCUACCAAAA